rnacentral:lncRNA from 1 species
CUGACCGGGAAUGAAGCCCACUCGGGGCUGAGCGGGCCCUGUGCAGUGCUCCAGCUUUCCACAGCCAGGCUGUCCUUAGGAGCCACCACGUCCCCGGAGGCACGAAGGCCCACGACCGUCACUUCCUCCCCAAGUGAGUCUACAGAGGACCUAACACAGCCCUCCAAAGCCAAAGCAGCCUUCUCCUUAUCCACAGUGGAAUCAGCUGGGCCAGAAAACAGCUCCGCACAUCCGGCUGUUGGAGCCUGUCUGGGCUGGACACAGCUCUGGUCUUCCUCAUGAACGGUCUCCCCAUGGCUCUUCCUCUCCCUGGCCUGGCUGGGGCUCUAGUGACAGUUGCAGGAGGGAUGUUUUGGUCAAAGGGCACUAAGCAUCGUUUAUUAUCCCAGGAUUCCCCUGGGCAUUUACUGUGCCUGUCUUCCAUUGCUACCAGACUCAGAGAUGAGGGAAACAGACUCAAACAGCACGCGGUGUGGGGAGAACAGGGAGGAAGUCUGGAUGAAUCACGGUGCCCUAAAGCCUGGUUGAAGAGGCCCAGAGCAACAAGAGGGUAAAACCUAAGUGCCUUGAGCAGGCACCGGGUGAGACUCGGGAGCUGCCAAGGAGAGCUCAUGGCUCUUAAUGCUUUCUCUGUGCCAGACAUAAUGCCAAGGGCUUGGCAUGCUAGUCCUUAAGCAAACCUACGUGGCAGGUGUGAUUGCUGUCCCCAGAUUGCACAGAGUCUGAGGCUUAGAGGAGUUAAGCCACGCUGAUAAAUAAGACUCUGGGACUCAGAGCUAGGGUCUGAGUUCCAGGGCCCGAGCAGCUGAGAUGCCAACUCACGCCUUUCCCUCCCUUUGAUUCAGGGCCUGGUCUCUUGUGCCUGGUGAGUGACAGCAAGACAUUUAGUCAUCCGGGGUCUCCGUUUUCCUUUUUCUGUAAAAGGGGCUGAGCGUCCCUCAGGUUUAUGGAGAGUUUUGAAGGAACAAGGCAGAUACGUUGCUCAGCGAUGUCUGACCUGGAGCACACACUCCAGCCAAGUCACCCAUGAUGGUCUUCGUAAUCGCCAUGACCGGGCGCUCUGUCAGAGGCCACUCUCCGAAUGGUGCAUCCUCUGCAACUUUCCCCUCUCUGGCUCUGCUGCGUCUCCCCAGGGCUCCAACAACCCUGUCACUGAAAUCAGGUGGAGACCGAGUCCCAUUUUACUAAAACCAUGAGAAUAUGGUGAACAACAUGCUGAUGGUUUUAACUGCCUUAAAGGAUACAGCUCAGGGGCACUGAGAGCAGCCCUUAUGGUCGUCAUUGUCACCAAGACUUCCUUGUCUUCCCAGACCCCAACUUUGUCCCUUUUACACCAAGCACUGUCUCACCAGCCACCAGAUGCUGGCAACCUCUGUUGUCUGUCUCUACCUGUCUGACCCACCUUGGCACCUCAUGUCAGUGGAUCAUACAUCCAUUGAUCUUUCUGUGAUUGGUUUGUUUUCUGGAACAUGGUGUGCACAAGUGUUAAUGAAAUGGCACACAUCAGCAUGUACUCCAUUUUUGAGACUAUAUAAUAUUUCUUUUGUGGGUUUCAGUUAUUCAUAGAGAAACACUAGCCAUCUCCAUCCUUUUGAUAUAGUGAAAAUGAAUGCUAUGUAUUGACAUGAAUGUACAUGUGCUGUAUCUGUUGGAUUCUUUUGAUUCAUACAUAUAUAGCCACGAUGUACCACAAUGCCCAAACUGUGUAAUUGCUGGAUAAAAUGGCAAUUCUGUUU